GUUAGGAAUAUUCGUCAAUGGGGGAAACCCUGAACGAGCAAUGCCGCGUGAGUGAUGACGGUCUUUAUGAUUGUAAAACUCUGUUGUAUGGGAAGAACACUAGAUAUAGGAAAUGAUAUCUAACUGACGGUACCAUGCCAGAAAGCCCCGGCUAACUACGUGCCAGCAGCCGCGGUAAUACGUAGGGGGCGAGCGUUAUCCGGAUUUAUUGGGCGUAAAGCGUGUGUAGGCGGUUUAUUAAGUAUAAGAUUAAAGCCUGGGGCUUAACUCCAGUUCGUCUUAUAAACUGGUAGACUUGAGUGUGGUAGAGGCAAAUGGAAUUUCUAGUGUAGCGGUAAAAUGCGUAGAUAUUAGAAGGAACACCGGUGGCGAAGGCGAUUUGCUGGGCCAUUACUGACGCUGAGACACGAAAGCGUGGGGAGCGAAUAGGAUUAGAAACCCUUGUAGUCC
rnacentral:rRNA from 1 species